rnacentral:lncRNA from 1 species
UGGCAAGAUUUGUGCCACCAUUUGUGGCGCUAUUUUAUUUCUACUUUAAUUUCAAAUUUAUUUACAACAACUAUAAUGAUAAGCGAAGGUGGGGACCAAACAUUUACCCCUUCACAGAAACAUAAACAUAAAGUUUAUGAAAGAAACAGAUAUAAAAUAAACAUUAUAACUAUAUAAAACUAAAAAGUUAUUCUACUCAAGAUGUAAUAGCUUAACAAAGUAACAUAAUGUCAUGAGUCUUCUAAAUACAAUGCUUUCAUAAACUUUCUCAAACUUCUCCCCAGUAUUAUGAGUUUAAAAGGAGGUUUUUGGGGACGAGGUGGAAAAUCAAUAAAAUGAAAAUUAAUUGAUUAAUCCUUUGAUCAAAAUUUUCAAGUAGUUCAAGAUCAUCAAGAAAUGCGUGCGCAUCAAACUUAUCACUAUUCAUGAGCAGUUAAUUUAGACAAUAGCCGAAACAACAUCGGGUUGGACAUUACACAGAUGCUCUGUUCUUCGUAUAAGGUGGCACGGUAGUAUUCCUGGCCCAUAAGGGAUAAUGAUAGCUUUUGGCUCACCUGGCCCGAAGGGCCAAGUGAGCUU